GAUGGCGAUUAAUAGUUUUUUCAUGAUAUGAUGGUGAGUGGUGCAUGGCCGUUCUUAGUUGGUGGAGUGAUUUGUCUGGUUAAUUCCGAUAACGAACGAGACUUUAUCUUAUUAAUUGGUUUAGUAAGAGUUUACUUUUACUAAUAUUAUUUUUAUAUACUAUUUAAAAGGACAGACUCUCAUUUUGAAUCAAUUUAAUCAUUGAAUUGGUUUAAAGAAAGAGGAGGAAGCAUGAAGCAAUAACAGGUCUGUGAUGCCCUUAGACAUCUUGGGCUGCACGCGUGCUACAAUGGAAUUUAUAGAGAGUAAUUUAUUGAGAUAUAAGGAAGUUUUAAUAUAGAAAUGUAUUAUUAUGAAAUUGUAUUUUUACCAAUAUUGAAAAAUGGAGGAAAUCUUUUAAAAGGUGUACAUGACUGGGAUUAAUGAUUGGAAUUAUUUGUUAUGAACGAGGAAUUCCUUGUAAGAUUUUGUCAUUAGCAAAAGUUGAAUAAGUCCCUGCCCUUUGUACACACCGCCCGUCGCUCCUACCGAUUGAAUAUAUAGGUGAAAUUUUAGGAUGAUGAAUAUAAAUAUUUGACAAAAUGGAUUUAAAUCUCUCUAUUUAGAGGAAGGAGAAGUCGUAACAAG
rnacentral:rRNA from 1 species